rnacentral:rRNA from 1 species
CCCGCACAAGCGGUGGAGUAUGUGGUUUAAUUCGACGCAACGCGCAGAACCUUACCUAGACUUGACAUCCCGGGGAUUUUCUGGAAACAGAGAAGUGCUUUAGCAAUAAAGAACCCGGUGACAGGUGCUGCAUGGCUGUCGUCAGCUCGUGUCGUGAGGUGUUGGGUUAAGUCCCGCAACGAGCGCAACCCUCGCCUUUAGUUGCCAGCAUUCAGUUGGGCACUCUAGAGGGACUGCCGGUGUCAAACCGGAGGAAGGUGGGAUGACGUCAAGUCCUCAUGGCCUUUAUGUCUAGGGCUACACACGUACUACAAUGGCCGGUACAAAGGGCAGCCACUCAGCGAUGAGGCGCUAAUCCCAUAAAGCCGGUCUCAGUCCGGAUCGCAGUCUGCAACUCGACUGCGUGAAGUUGGAAUCGCUAGUAAUCGUAGAUCAGCAUGCUACGGUGAAUACGUUCCCGGGCCUU